rnacentral:rRNA from 1 species
UACGGGAGGCAGCAGUGGGGAAUAUUGCACAAUGGGGGAAACCCUGAUGCAGCAACGCCGCGUGAGUGAAGAAGGUUUUCGGAUCGUAAAGCUCUGUCAUCCGGGACGAUAAUGACGGUACCGGAAGAGGAAGCCACGGCUAACUACGUGCCAGCAGCCGCGGUAAUACGUAGGUGGCGAGCGUUGUCCGGAAUUACUGGGCGUAAAGGGUGUGCAGGCGGAUAUUUAAGUGAGAUGUGAAAGACCCGGGCUUAACCCGGGCAGUGCAUUUCAAACUGGAUAUCUAGAGUGCAGGAGAGGAGAACGGAAUUCCUAGUGUAGCGGUGAAAUGCGUAGAGAUUAGGAAGAACACCAGUGGCGAAGGCGGUUCUCUGGACUGUAACUGACGCUGAGGCACGAAAGCGUGGGUAGCAAACAGGAUUAGAUACCCUGGUAGUCCACGCCGUAAACGAUGAGUACUAGGUGUAGGGGGUAUCGACCCCCCCUGUGCCGCAGUAAACACAAUA